UACGUAGGGUGCGAGCGUUAAUCGGAAUUACUGGGCGUAAAGCGUGCGCAGGCGGUCUGUUAAGACAGGUGUGAAAUCCCCGGGCUUAACCUGGGAACUGCAUUUGUGACUGGCAGGCUAGAGUAUGGCAGAGGGGGGUAGAAUUCCACGUGUAGCAGUGAAAUGCGUAGAGAUGUGGAGGAAUACCGAUGGCGAAGGCAGCCCCCUGGGCCAAUACUGACGCUCAUGCACGAAAGCGUGGGGAGCAAACAGG
rnacentral:rRNA from 1 species